AUGGUCAUGGUGAGCCACCCUCUUCUUGUACACAUAGACGCGCGAGACGACCACGAACGCGGCCAGCUCCGCCGCGCAGAGCCCGGCGAGCAGCCAGUAGAAGUAGUCGAGGUGCGCGCGGUUGAGGUUGUUGGAGAACCAGCUGGCGCCGCCCUUCUUGGUGGCGCCGUCGAUGGCGGAGAUGAGGAAGCUGCUGAGGAAGUGGCCCACCCCGAAGAUGCUGAGGAAGAAGGCCAGCCCCAGGCUGCGCAGCGCGUCGGGGACCUGGUCGUAGAAGAACUCCUGCAGCCCGAUCAUGGCGAACACGUCCGACAGCCCGAACAGCACGUACUGCGGCACCAUCCACCACAGGCUCAUCGGCAGCGCCGCCUUGGGGUCGUCCACGAGCCCGGCGUCCCUCGCCACGCCCAGCCGCCUCGCCUCCACCAGCGCCGCCACCACCAUGGCCACGAGGGCGAGGACCAGCCCCGUGCCGAUCCUCUGCAGCAUGGUGAUUCCCGAGGACAGGCGCGUGAACCGCCGGGCGGCGGGCACGAAGAGACGGUCGUAGACAGGGAUGAAGGUGAUGAUGGUCAGGCUGAUGAACGUCUGCAGCGCCGCCGGCGGCACGCGGAAGGUGGCGCCGAUCCGCCGGUCCAGCGUCGCGGCCUGCUUCGUGAAGAAGGUGGACGACUGGGAGAAGAUGACGGCGUAGAUGAUGCACGUCGCCCAGAUGGGGAACAGCCGCAGCAGGAGCGCGACGAAGGCCCUGGCGAGGCGGGCGAAGGGGCUGGACUGGGUGGAGGUGUAGUAGCGGUAGCGGCGGGUGCCGAGCAGGAACAUGGCGAGCGCGAGGACCAUGACGAGGCAGGGGAUGCCGAAGCCGAGGCCCCAGCCGAUGUUGUCCUGGAUGUAGCUGGAGACCAUGGUGGUGGCGGCGGUGCCGGAGCACAUGCCGAAGUACCACCAGUUGAAGAAGGAGCUCCGGGAGACGGACUCCUCGGGGUGGUGCUGGUCGAACUGGUCGGCCCCGAACGCCUGCGCGCAGGGCUUGUGCCCGGCCUCCGCCAGCGCCACCAGGUAGAGCGAGACGUAGAAGAUGGUCACCUGCACCGGCGACGGCGAGCACGCGCCCGAGAGCGAGGUGAAGCUGGUGCACCCGUCCGAGUGGAACACCGGGAGCGCCGAGGACAGGGUCAGCAUGCCCAUGCUCUGCAACGGCAACCCGGCUGUCAGUGGUCAGCCGGACGCACUUCUCUGUCAGUGGAAGCGCGCGAGCUUGAUUGGGGGAGGGCGGACAGAAAGGGGUUCGUUCAUGGAGCACUUUUUUUGUCAAAAGGGAAUUUUUACGGGAGGGGAAAAGCGGGCUGA
rnacentral:rRNA from 1 species